rnacentral:rRNA from 1 species
AUUAGCCAUGCAUGUCUCAGUACAUGCCGCAUUAAGGUGAAACCGCGAAUGGCUCAUUAAAUCAGUUAUGGUUUCUUAGAUCAUACCUAAAUUUACUUGGAUAACUGUGGUAAUUCUAGAGCUAAUACAUGCAAACAGAUUCCGACCAGAGAUGGUAGGAAUGCUUUUAUUAGAUCAAAACCAAUCGGUGGCGGAUGGCUCGUCUGUCCGUCCAUCGUUUGUUUUGGUGACUCUGAAUAACUUUGUGCUGAUCGCAUGGUCAUCUAGCACCGGCGACGCAUCUUUCAAAUGUCUGCCUUAUCAACUGUCGAUGGUAGGUUCUGCGCCUACCAUGGUUGUAACGGGUAACGGGGAAUCAGGGUUCGAUUCCGGAGAGGGAGCCUGAGAAACAGCUACCACAUCCAAGGAAGGCAGCAGGCGCGCAAAUUACCCACUCCCGGCACGGGGAGGUAGUGACGAAAAAUAACGAUACGGGACUCAUCCGAGGCCCCGUAAUCGGAAUGAGUACACUUUAAAUCCUUUAACGAGGACCAAUUGGAGGGCAAGUCUGGUGCCAGCAGCCGCGGUAAUUCCAGCUCCAAUAGCGUAUAUUAAAGUUGUUGCGGUUAAAAAGCUCGUAGUUGAAUCUGUGUGUCACAGUGUCGGUUCACCGCUCGCGGUGUUUAACUGGCAUUAUGUGGUACGUCCUAUCGGUGGGCUUAGCUCCUCGCGGGCGGUCCAACUAAUAUCCCAUCGCGGUGCUCUUCACUGAGUGUCGAGGUGGGCCGAUACGUUUACUUUGAACAAAUUAGAGUGCUUAAAGCAGGCUACCUUCGCCUGAAUACUGUGUGCAUGGAAUAAUGGAAUAGGACCUCGGUUCUAUUUUGUUGGUUUUCGGAGCCCCGAGGUAAUGAUUAAUAGGGACAGAUGGGGGCAUUCGUAUUGCGACGUUAGAGGUGAAAUUCUUGGAUCGUCGCAAGACGGACAGAAGCGAAAGCAUUUGCCAAAAAUGUUUUCAUUAAUCAAGAACGAAAGUUAGAGGUU